rnacentral:tRNA from 1 species
GGGGAUAUGACUCAGUGGUAGAGUGCUUUCCUGGCAUGCAUGAGGCACUGGGUUCAAUCCCCAGCACCACCA